UUUAAAGAUUAUAAAAUUGGUUUAUUGUAAAAGCAAUUCAAGAAUCCCCAGUUAAAAUCUUAUCCCAGUGCCACCCAAUACAACCAAGAAGCAGUUAAGUACUUUUACAUUAGGAACAAGGACAUAAAACAAGAAAGACCACAUCAGGGCUGUGAUUCAAACUCAGAAAGGACUCAGGUCUCCUUCAGGUCAGUACAGAAGCUACGAUAAAAUCAAAGCACCAUGUGUCAGUGCCACGGUGCUGCUACAACAUUGAGGUAUAACCAGGCAAAUUAAAGUUGAAGGGAAAUUAAGAAUUCCGUAUUUUUGUUUUGUGGGUGUACUUAAGAGAUUGAAACUCUAGGAACAACUGCCUUUAAUGACAGCAAGAUGCCAGACUUUAUUGAAGAAAAAGAAGCUUAUAAAGUUCUCUAUCAAGGUCUCACUAAAUCGUCACAACCCCCCUCCUAUCUUCCCACCCUCUUCCCUAAUCUACAGCUACUCUGCUGAGAUAUGAGAUGCGAUCUUCAUUUGUGGCUUAAUGGCAAAUUGUAGGCCAUCCUUUCAAGUAGCUUUGAUCUUCUGCACAUAAAAAAACCCAACAUGCUAUAUCGUCCAUAAAAUCAAUUGUGCAUUCUAGGCAAAAUUUCAUUAUUCCUCUAAAAAAAAUCAAUACAUCUGCAGUGGCCGUUUUCCCUCAGACCUCAUUCAAGAUUUAAUCUUUCUGCUGCUUUCUUAUAGCCUUAGAGUCAAUUAUUAUGAAAGGUCAACCAAUGAAUCAUUAUAUACAACACAGUGAUUGCAUUUUGAGCACUGAAAGUAUUUAAUAUAAACCCUCUUACCCAACUUUUAAACCUUCUUAUCCAACUUUAGCACUCCUCUAAAUUGAAGGGUCAAAAUACUUAGAUUUUUUAAUUAGAAAGGAAAAAAAAAAACCCACCUAUCUUCCCAAGCUGAGGCUUUUCAUAUCAGUUUUGGCCACGAAGAGAUUUUAUGUCUUAUAAACCCUUGAAAAUAAGGGAUUAUUCUAGAAACAUUGAAAGACCCUUAAUCAUAGAGGUGCUAGUGGAUGCCACUAUAAUUCACAAUCAAAUAUUACUUCGUAGCUUAUACUGAAGAGUUGAUUCAUGCUCAUUUUGUUCCUUUAAAAAUACUCUUUGGAAACCAUUAUUACUCCUGUAGACACAUACUCUAGUUAAUAUCUCUUCCAGUAAAAAUAAAAGUAUAAUCAUGAUUAUCUAUUUCUUUGCUAAAUUCAACUACCAAUAUACAUUAAUCUGAGCACUUUACCAGCUAACUCAUGACCUUACAGUAUACUACAUACUAUUCAGGGUCAAAAAAUUCUCAGCAUAUAGAAGUAGGAGCAAGUCUUUUAAGUAGGAACAGUCUUGUAGGCAAUAUUUCAAUGUAGUCUUUAAUGUGUUCAUUACAAAUGAGAACUAAAGACUAGAAUUUAUGUCCAAAACUAAGGGGAUAAUAAAGCCAUUUCUUGUUUGCUUCUUUCAAAUUCAUCAAAUAUCCACUCUGUGCCCAGAGGACAUACAGAACUCCUUCCUCUGGGCACUACUAAUAACUACAGCCCUUUCUAGAACACUAAACUACUACAAACAUCUGCAGACUGCCCCAACCAGAUUUAAACUAUCUGUGAAAUAUAAACUACUAGGUCAUGUAUUCUAAAUGCAUACAUUCACAAAGCUACCAUUUUAAAAUAAAUUGGAAAGAUGGGAAAACUUAAAAAAAAAUACAUUCUGCUAUCACACUACCAUAAACAUUAUAAGUGUGUGUGGUUAUACAUAUAGAGAGAGCAGAUAAUCAAGAUUUAAAUAAGAUGGUAAAAAAAAAAAAACAAAAACAAAAACAAAAAA
ensembl:lncRNA